UCCCUGGUGGUCUAGUGGCUAGAGUGUGCCACUCUCACUGCCAUGGCCUGGGUUCAUUUCCUGGUCAGGAAA